rnacentral:siRNA from 1 species
AGUAACUCUUUGGUGAGAGAUGGC